UGGUUUUGAUUGCUCUCAAG
rnacentral:miRNA from 1 species